GUAACUGGUCACUCACGAGAGAGCAUCAGGGCAUCGGCGUGAGACGCCAACGAGGACCAUCCAGGUCUCACUUCCCGGAGCGCGAGCCAGGUGGAUGCAUGCUUGCUGCGAAAGAAUCGCCUUUCACCUCGUCUCUUGCUGUCUUCUGGGUUUAUUCGUCUCAAUUCCAGCGUCCUUCCGCGAUCCAUCCUGGUCGCAUGUCACGCGCAUAACAGCAGCCAACAGUAGUCAUGGCGGAGAUGAUGGAAGUGAUCAAGAAAGAGCAGGAAGAAGAUGGUACGGCUCAGCGCCAGGGCCUGGAAGAGGGAGGCGCCAAGAAGAUCGGCGGCGGCGGCCACGAGGAGGAGCCGUCCCCGUCCGGGAAGGUGAAGAAGAAGGCGAGGAAGCAGGGCGUCUCCGACCCACAACGGAAGCGUGCCUGCGUGGACUGCACGAGGCGAUGCUCCCGAGUUCACGGCCGCGCCGCCGCUUCCUCCUCCGGCAAGGCUCCCCCGGCCCCGGCCGCCGCCCUGACGUCCUUCUUCAAGGUCAUGACGGGCUCCUUCUCCGAAAAACUGGACGUACCGCCCCGAUUUGCCAAGAACAUCCCGGAGCUGGCGGACACCAACGUCUACCUCGAAGACGCCUUCGGGCUCCGCUGGCGGGUGUACCUGUGCGCGCGCGACGGCCGCCUGUCCUUCGGGCACGGAUGGAGGAACUUUGUGCUGGACCACACCGUCGCCGUCGGCGAGUUCCUGGUGUUCCGGCACAUCUCCAGGUCAGUCUUCGCCGUCCAGAUCUUCGCUAAGUCCGCAUGUGAAAGGCUGCAUCUGUGCGAGAAGAACAAGAGGCAGAGCAAGAAGAGGAAGAAGCCCGGGGAGAAGGCGAGCUCCGACGGCGAUCGCACGGCGAAAGCAAGCAAGAAGAGCAGCGAGGAUAAAGAUAAGAAAAGCAGUAAAAAGAAGCAGCGUGCUUGUGAUCUGUUAGAUGGUGAUCAGGAUAGAGCUCGCGGAGAUCAAGAUCAAGAUCAAGAUCACAUGGUGCUGAUAAGCACAGCAAACACUCAAGCUGCGAACUGUGGGGGCUCUGACUUUGGGACUUAUGCAGAACCGACAACACCUUUGGCCAUGAUGGAUCUCGACGAUGAGAUCACCGACGACAUAUUUCUGACAGCCGAUGCAUACGAAUUCGAAACUGAUCUCUGUAUUCCAGAAGAACCAGGAGCAUUUCCUGUGGACAAUGGUAUUGGUAUGGAAGCGCCCGUUACCCACGGCGAAACCUCCGGUUUCAGCUGCGCCGAGAUGAUCGGCUCUCGGAACUGUGACUCUUCCGUGGGAGUUGGCCUCUGUCAUGGAGAGAAAUCAGCAGGCCUGAAAAAUAAACAGAUGGCUGAUGCACGGGUAAUAACAAGCACAUAUACUAAUGCUCCAGUGCUUGACAUGGACAUGACGGCCUUGCCCAGCAACGCGUUGUCAGAAAUUAGAGAGGAAAAGCCCUCUCCUCGUAUUGAUGCAGCAGCGCCUUCCAGUGAGUGCGCAACCGGCAAUUGCAAGAAGGAUACAGAUUAUAAGUUGAUGGAGUUCCCUUCCGAGGGCAACCAGGUUGACACGAAAGAAGGCGAGUUCCUUUAAUACUUUUGCAGUCUUUCUCUUCGUAUAUUGUACGUAGUAUGUUUUUGAUAGACCAUGCAUAUUCAGCAAUUGUUCUAGUAGAAGAUUCGUCCGCGGAGCAAGACGAGGACCUGCAGAUUCAAGAAUGUACAGGAUGGGCUGCUGCAGAGAUUAUUUCUGGUGGCUCAAAGCCUGGUGAACGUGGCGAGCGCAGGCAAAAACGCCGUAUGCAACCUGCAGGGAACCAUGAGAGCGCGAGUCCGAGGCCAAGCAGCAGAAAGCUCCGCGUCGCGGCGCCCCCGGCUGACCAAACGUGGCUGGAGCUCCCUUGCCGGAUGCCGGUGCUGCCGGGGAGGAAGAAGCAGGGGCGGAAGGUGGUGGUGCUGGAGGACCCUGGCGGGCGGCACUGGCCGGCGCUCUACCUGUGCACCCCGACCUUCAGUGGCUUCGUGGCCGGGUGGGCCGACGUGCGCGCGGAGAACGGCCUGCGGGAGGGCGACGCCUGCGAGCUCGAGCUCCGCCGCGGCAGCUACUCCGAGCUGGCGCUCCGAGUGCUGGGCGCGCCCGGUUCUACUUCUCAGUAGCCGGCCACCGUUUGGCCUCGCAAACAUGUGCGUAGGUGACUGAUGACGGUGGUGACCAGGGAGUGGUCACAGUUGUAACCGUUGACUUCCUCUCGUCUUGGCACCGCUGAGGAGGGGAGGCUGUAAAUGUGCUGCGCAUCCGCAAGUAUUUUUCACCUCUCCUUCGGGUGGUUGUAAUGAAGAGUAUCAUGUGAUACUAACUUCGUAAUGUAUGGUAUCAUAAGUUAAUAUCUUAA